rnacentral:rRNA from 1 species
UCUGUGAAGCUGCCUGAUGGAGGGGGAUAACUACUGGAAACGGUGGCUAAUACCGCAUAACGUCGCAAGACCAAAGAGGGGGACCUUCGGGCCUCUUGCCAUCAGAUGUGCCCAGAUGGGAUUAGCUUGUUGGUGAGGUAACGGCUCACCAAGGCGACGAUCCCUAGCUGGUCUGAGAGGAUGACCAGCCACACUGGAACUGAGACACGGUCCAGACUCCUACGGGAGGCAGCAG